AUCCAGGCGCGGACCCCUCCGGGGGCGAGCGCCGCCUUCACACCAACCCUCUGCCUACGCGUACCCCCAUCGCUUCCUCGGCAGGCUCGCCUGCCGCCAGGAACCAACCAAACCCCUUGCAUCGUACAUGAAAACCUCCGAUACCAACCUAAAUUAUUA
rnacentral:misc_RNA from 1 species